UACGUAGGGGGCUAGCGUUGUCCGGAAUUACUGGGCGUAAAGGGCGCGUAGGCGGCCCGCUAAGUCGGACGUGAAAUCCCCAGGCUCAACCUGGGAACUGCGUCCGAUACUGGCAGGCUUGAAUCCGGGAGAGGGAUGUGGAAUUCCAGGUGUAGCGGUGAAAUGCGUAGAUAUCUGGAGGAAUACCGGUGGCGAAGGCGGCAUCCUGGACCGACAUUGACGCUGAGGAGCGAAAGCUAGGGGAGCAAACGGG
rnacentral:rRNA from 1 species